GAUGAACGCUGGCGGCGUGCCUAAUACAUGCAAGUCGAGCGAACAGAUGAGGAGCUUGCUCCUCUGACGUUAGCGGCGGACGGGUGAGUAACACGUGGAUAACCUACCUAUAAGACUGGGAUAACUACGGGAAACCGGAGCUAAUACCGGAUAAUAUAUUUAACCGCAUGGUUCAAUAGUGAAAGACGGUUUUGCUGUCACUUAUAGAUGGAUCCGCGCCGCAUUAGCUAGUUGGUAAGGUAACGGCUUACCAAGGCAACGAUGCGUAGCCGACCUGAGAGGGUGAUCGGCCACACUGGAACUGAGACACGGUCCAGACUCCUACGGGAGGCAGCAGUAGGGAAUCUUCCGCAAUGGGCGAAAGCCUGACGGAGCAACGCCGCGUGAGUGAUGAAGGUCUUCGGAUCGUAAAACUCUGUUAUUAGGGAAGAACAAAUGUGUAAGUAACUAUGCACGUCUUGACGGUACCUAAUCAGAAAGCCACGGCUAACUACGUG
rnacentral:rRNA from 1 species